rnacentral:rRNA from 1 species
GCCAGACUCCUACGGGAGGCAGCAGUGGGGGAUAUUGCACAAUGGGGGAAACCCUGAUGCAGCGACGCCGCGUGGGUGAAGAAGCGCCUCGGCGCGUAAAGCCCUGUCAGCAGGGAAGAAAAUGACGGUACCUGAAGAAGAAGCCCCGGCUAACUACGUGCCAGCAGCCGCGGUAAUACGUAGGGGGCAAGCGUUAUCCGGAUUUACUGGGUGUAAAGGGGGCGCAGACGGCGAUGCAAGCAAGGAGUGAAAGCCCGGGGCGCAACCCCGGGACUGCUCUGGGAACUGCGUGGCUGGAGUGCAGGAGGGGCAGGCGGAAUUCCUGGUGUAGCGGUGAAAUGCGUAGAUAUUAGGAGGAACACCAGUGGCGAAGGCGGCUUGCUGGACAGAGACUGACGUUGAGGCUCGAAAGCGUGGGUACCAAACAGGAUUAGAUACCCCGUUAA